rnacentral:rRNA from 1 species
UACGAAGGGAGCUAGCGUUGUUCGGAAUCACUGGGCGUAAAGCGUGCGUAGGCGGCUUCUCAAGUCAGGGGUGAAAUCCCACAGCUUAACUGUGGAACUGCCUUUGAAACUGAGAGGCUAGAAUGUGAGAGGGGAUGGCGGAAUUCCUAAUGUAGAGGUGAAAUUCGUAGAUAUUAGGAGGAACACCCGUGGCGAAAGCGGCCAUCUGGAUCACAAUUGACGCUGAUGUACGAAAGCGUGGGUAGCAAACAGG